rnacentral:rRNA from 1 species
GUGGUUUAAUUCGAUGCAACGCGAAGAACCUUACCAGGUCUUGACAUCCCACGAAUUCAUCUGAAAGGAUGGAGUGCCUUCGGAGCGUGGAGACAGGUGGUGCAUGGUUGUCGUCAGCUCGUGUCGUGAGAUGUUGGGUUAAGUCCCGCAACGAGCGCAACCCUUGCUAUUAGUUGCUAACAGGUAGAGCUGAGCACUCUAAUGGGACUGCCGGUGACAAGCCGGAGGAAGGUGGGGAUGACGUCAAAUCAUCAUGCCCUUUAUGACCUGGGCUACACACGUGCUACAAUGGAUGGUACAGAGAGCAGCGAGGCAGCGAUGUGGAGCGAAUCUCAAAAAGCCAUUCUCAGUUCGGAUUGGAGUCUGCAACUCGACUCCAUGAAGUCGGAAUCGCUAGUAAUCGCGAAUCAGCAUGUCGCGGUGAAUGCGUUCCCGGGCCUU